rnacentral:rRNA from 1 species
GACAGAGGUGCCGAGCGUUAGGCGGAAUCACUGGGCUUAAAGCGUGUGUAGGCGGGUCGUUAAGUGCCUUGUGAAAUCCCACCGCUCACCGGUGGAACUGCUUGGCAUACUGGCGGUCUUGAGCCACUUAGGGGCAACCGGAACAAACGGUGGAGCGGUGAAAUGCGUAGAUAUCGUUUGGAACGCCAAUGGUGAAAACAGGUUGCUGGGAGUGUGCUGACGCUGAGACACGAAAGCCAGGGGAGCAAACGGG